GGGGGAUAUUGCGCAAUGGGGGCAACCCUGACGCAGCAACGCCGCGUGAAGGAUGAAGGUUUUCGGAUUGUAAACUUCUUUUAUUAAGGACGAAACUUGACGGUACUUAAUGAAUAAGCUCCGGCUAACUACGUGCCAGCAGCCGCGGUAAUACGUAGGGAGCAAGCGUUGUCCGGAUUUACUGGGUGUAAAGGGUGCGUAGGCGGCUUUGCAAGUCAGAUGUGAAAUCUAUGGGCUCAACCCAUAAACUGCAUUUGAAACUGUAGAGCUUGAGUGAAGUAGAGGCAGGCGGAAUUCCCCGUGUAGCGGUGAAAUGCGUAGAGAUGGGGAGGAACACCAGUGGCGAAGGCGGCCUGCUGGGCUUUAACUGACGCUGAGGCACGAAAGCGUGGGUAGCAAACAGGAUUAGAUACCCUGGUAGUCCACGCUGUAAACGAUGAUUACUAGGUGUGGGGGGUCUGACCCCUUCCGUGCCGGAGUUAACAUAAUAAGUAAUCCACCUGGGGAGUACGGCCGCAAGGUUGAAACUCAAAGGAAUUGACGGGGGCCCGCACAAGCAGUGGAGUAUGUGGUUUAAUUCGAAGCAACGCGAAGAACCUUACCAGGUCUUGACAUCCAACUAACGAAGUAGAGAUACAUUAGGUGCCCUUCGGGGAAAGUUGAGACAGGUGGUGCAUGGUUGUCGUCAGCUCGUGUCGUGAGAUGUUGGGUUAAGUCCCGCAACGAGCGCAACCCUUGCUAUUAGUUGCUACGCAAGAGCACUCUAAUAGGACUGCCGUUGACAAAACGGAGGAAGGUGGGGACGACGUCAAAUCAUCAUGCCCCUUAUGACCUGGGCUACACACGUACUACAAUGGAUGUUAACAGAGGGAAGCAAGACAGCGAUGUGGAGCAAACCCCUAAAAACAUUCUCAGUUCAGAUUGCAGGCUGCAACCCGCCUGCAUGAAGAUGGAAUUGCUAGUAAUCGCGGAUCAGCAUGCCGCGGUGAAUACGUUCCCG
rnacentral:rRNA from 1 species